UGGGGAAUAUUGGGCAAUGGGCGAAAGCCUUACCCAGCAAUACCGCGUGAGGGAAGGAGGUCUUCGGAUUGUAAACCUCUUUGAUCAGGGACGAAGAAAGUGACGGUACCUGAAGAACAAGCCCCGGCUAACUACGUGCCAGCAGCCGCGGUAAUACGUAGGGGGCGAGCGUUGUCCGGAAUGACUGGGCGUAAAGGGUGCGUAGGCGGCUAAGCAAGUUAGAAGUGAAAUACCUAGGGCUUAACUCAGGUGCUGCUUUUAAAACUGUUUGGCUGGAGUGCAGGAGAGGUUAAUGGAAUUCCUAGUGUAGCGGUGGAAUGCGUAGAUAUUAGGAGGAACACCAGAGGCGAAGGCGAUUAACUGGACUGUAACUGACGCUGAGGCACGAAAGUGUGGGGAGCAAACA
rnacentral:rRNA from 1 species